rnacentral:rRNA from 1 species
CCUACGGGAUGCUGCAGUGAGGAAUAUUGGUCAAUGGGCGGAAGCCUGAACCAGCCAAGUAGCGUGCGGGAUGAAGGCCCUACGGGUCGUAAACCGCUUUUGCACGGGGAUAACACUCUCCACUUGUGGAGGUCUGCAGGUACCGUGCGAAUAAGGGCCGGCUAAUUCCGUGCCAGCAGCCGCGGUAAUACGGAAGGCCCGAGCGUUAUCCGGAUUCAUUGGGGUUAAAGGGAGCGUAGGCGGGCGAUCAAGUCAGCGGUAAAAUCGCGCGGCUCAAGCGCGCCCCGCAGUUGACAAUGGACGCCUUGAGAUCACAACAGGCAGGCGGAAUUCGUGGUGUAGCGGUGAAAUGCAUAGAUAGCA